GUGUUUGCUUCAGCAGCACAUAUACUAAAAUUGGAAUGAUACAGAGAAGAUUAGCGUGGCCCCUGAGCAAGGAUGGCAUGCAAACUUACGAAACAUUCCAUAUUAAA
ensembl:snRNA U6 U6 spliceosomal RNA